AAUAUGCACUAGAUAGGGGAAGUAAGUUGACUACUAUGAAAGAUAGGGAUGUCAACUAAUGUUUAUACUUGCUUGUCAUUAUAAAAAGAAGGGAGAUUAAUAGCCUCCAAUAUUCACGUUUUAAUAAUGACAAACUAAUUAGUGGAAUUUUGUAGGAUAUUGAAAGAUCACUAAUGAUGGAAGGAUAUCUCACACAAAGAUAUGAAGGAUCAAAGAAGGCUAAUUCAACACAGAAGUAAGCAAGAGAGCCGACUCUAAAAAUAGAAAGGCAUCCAAUCAUGAAGAUCCACGACCACGACAUAUAAAGAGUAUGGAAGUAUAAAUAAAGCAUUUGAAUAAAAUAAAGAAGGAUCAUAGUCCCAAAAUCAUGCCAAAUCAAAUAAAUCAAGACU
rnacentral:lncRNA from 1 species